UACGAGGGGGGCUAGUGUUGUUCGGAAUCACUGGGCGUAAAGGGCGCGUAGGCGGGAGCCUAAGUUGGGUGUUUAAUUCCGGGGCCCAACCCCGGGCGUGCACUCAAAACUGGGUUUCUUGAAUAGGGGAGAGGUCGGUGGAAUUGGAGGUGUAGCGGUGGAAUGCGUAGAGAUCUCCAAGAACACCCGUUGCGAAGGCGGCCGACUGGACCCAUAUUGACGCUGAGGCUCGAAAGCAUGGGGAGCAAACAGG
rnacentral:rRNA from 1 species